rnacentral:rRNA from 1 species
CCCUUCGGGGUUGAGUGGCGGACGGGUGAGUAACGCGUGAGAAUCUGCCUUCAGGUCGGGGACAACCACUGGAAACGGUGGCUAAUACCCGAUGUGCGCAACGUGAAAGAUUUAUCGCCUGAAGAGGAGCUCGCGUCUGAUUAGCUAGUUGGUGGGGUAAAAGCUCACCAAGGCGACGAUCAGUAGCUGGUCUGAGAGGAUGAUCAGCCACACUGGGACUGAGACACGGCCCAGACUCCUACGGGAGGCAGCAGUGGGGAAUUUUCCGCAAUGGGCGAAAGCCUGACGGAGCAAGACCGCGUGAGGGAGGAAGGCUCUUGGGUUGUAAACCUCUUUUCUCAGGGAAGAACACAAUGACGGUACCUGAGGAAUCAGCCUCGGCUAACUCCGUGCCAGCAGCCGCGGUAAUACGGAGGAGGCAAGCGUUAUCCGGAAUUAUUGGGCGUAAAGCGUCCGCAGGUGGCACUUCAAGUCUGUCGUCAAAGACUGGGGCUUAACCCUGGAAAGGCGGUGGAAACUGAAGCGCUAGAGUGUGGUAGGGGUAGAGGGAAUUCCCGGUGUAGCGGUGAAAUGCGUAGAGAUCGGGAAGAACAUCGGUGGCGAAGGCGCUCUACUGGACCACA